UACGAAGGGGGCUAGCGUUGCUCGGAAUCACUGGGCGUAAAGGGUGCGUAGGCGGGUUUUUAAGUCAGGGGUGAAAUCCUGGAGCUCAACUCCAGAACUGCCUUUGAUACUGAAAAUCUUGAGUCCGGGAGAGGUGAGUGGAACUGCGAGUGUAGAGGUGAAAUUCGUAGAUAUUCGCAAGGACACCAGUGGCGAAGGCGGCUCACUGGCCCGGUACUGACGCUGAGGCACGAAAGCGUGGGGAGCAAACAGGG
rnacentral:rRNA from 1 species